CUUAUACUCCCUCCGUCUGAAAAUACUUGUCAUCAAAAUGGACAAAAAGGGAUGUAUCUAGAACUAAAAUACAUCUAGAUACAUCCCCUUUUAUUCAUUUUGAUGACAAGUAUUUCCGGACGGAGGGAGUAUCUU
rnacentral:pre_miRNA from 1 species